GGGGGCACAGUUCAGUGGUUAGAGCACUUGAUUGCAGAUCAAGAGGUCUCCAGUUCAAAUCUAGGUGCCCUCU